rnacentral:rRNA from 1 species
GUGAUCUGUCUGCUUAAUUGCGUUUCACUAAGGGCCCAUAAAUUCAAGGUAUGUUAGCUAUCUGUCGCUCCAUGGACCCCUUAACCGAGUUAAAUCGAGUUAAGCGCGCGUCCUUAUUUAAAGAGUUUAAGACAUUGCGCAUGCUGUUGGGCUCUGAAAGCAACGAACGUGACCGCAACGUCUUGUUGCCUUAAUAAAGCAAGUUGUGUUAAUAGCAAUAUUAACCGAUUGCUUACAGAGGCUAUUUAAAACUAGACGGACCGCUGUUUCUUUUCUUAAACCAGAGGAAGGUUGCGGCAAUAACAGGUCUGUGAUGCCCUUAGAUGUUCCGGGCUGCACACGUGCUACAAUGAUCAGUACAGUGAGCAUCUCAAUAUAAUACACCGUCUUUAGCGCUUAGACGCGAUUAUCGGCUUACUUUUUAUUAAGGAGGUCUGUUUAAUCGAUGUUUUCUAAUGUGCGCGGUAAAGCCUGCUUCGAGAGUAAGCGGGUAAUCCAUUGGAAGUAAUGAUUUCUCUAUAUCUAGUGCACAACUAUGCACGGCACUCAUUCCCGAGACGGCUAAUUUCGUCUUUUAGUGUGAAUGUGGUGUUAUUCAAACGUGCGUGCAACUGUCAAUUCAUGGUGGGGACAGACCAUUGUUAACUGUUGGUCUCGGUCUUAACUAGGAAUGCCUUGUACGGGUCUUUGGUUCAACAAACCACCCGGAAUACGUCCCUGCCCUUUGUACACACCGCCCGUCGCUCUUACCGAUGGACUUUUUUGUGAGUCUAAGGGACUGGGUUAAACCGUUCGUUUAUUCGGAUGGCAGUACCUAUGGAAACUUAUGCGAACAAAGUGGUCUAAAGGAAAGAGAAGUCGUAACAAGACAACAGUAGGUGAACCUGCAGAA